UACAGAGGGUGCGAGCGUUGUCCGGAAUCACUGGGCGUAAAGGGCGCGUAGGCGGCUUCUUAAGCGUGUGGUGAAAGCGCGGGGCUCAACCCCGCGUCGGCCGUGCGAACUGGGGAGCUGGAGCACGUCAGAGGCAGGCGGAAUUCCGGGUGUAGCGGUGGAAUGCGUAGAGAUGUGGAGGAACACCAGUGGCGAAGGCGACUCUUUGGCCUGUAACUGACACUGGAGGCGCGAAAGCGUGGGGAGCAAACAGGG
rnacentral:rRNA from 1 species